ensembl:lncRNA
AUGCAGGCUGCCAGCUGGCUGUUGGAGUGCCUGGGCACGCUGCGGGAUACAGGGGAUAUGCCAGGACUGCUGGCUGCUUUCCAGGACUUUUCCAAGGCUUUGCUUUUGCUGAGCAAUCUGACAGCACAGCACCUCGAGGAACUCCAAGAUUCUCCUCGACGGACCAGCUUGGCCCAGACUUUGCAGCUCCUUCAGAAGUGCGUUCCUUUGCUCCAUGAAUCCAAGCACAGCCACCUUAAAUGCUCCUGGGCUCAACAAGUCAACUUCUCCAAAAACGAUGCUUUCCAGCUGAUGGAGAGGACCAUCCAAGAGCUUGUUUCCUUGCUUGUUGACAGCACGGGCAGCAAGGAGCUUCAGGACAGACACGGGACCUUCUCCCAUCAUGUGCAUAGGCUGCUGGCUCUCCUCUACCACCCAGACCCAGUGCAUCUCUCUGACAGCGAGUUCAGCACUCACGUGGAAGCAGUAGUUUUCUACUGCAUGCUUCUAGCAGAGAUGUGCAAGGCAGAUCUGAAACAGGAUCUGGUAAAACGUUGCUGUGUCCUCCUACGGCUCAGAAAGAACAUUUGCUGCCACAUAAGUCAGCAGGAGGGACGGACAAGGCCAAGCUGGGGAGAAAGCAGCCUGCAGGAGAAGUGUCACACCAUGGGAAAGGAGGUGGAGGACCUCGAUAAGGCUGUGCUCAAAGCUACUCUGCACCAAAUCCUCAACACCUUCUCUGAUGCCAAGGAGUCCUUGAGGCAGUUAGUAGAGGAAGCUUUUAUCCUUGCAGGUACAGGGUGUUUUCCAGCGGGGCAGGGAGGAUUACUGAAGAAGCUGCAGCCCCUCAUUGCCACCUUUUUCGCACACGCCCAGCAGAUGCUCAGAGUAGCAGACUUUGUCCUGGCCAGGUGCACCAAAACCCAAACUGCUAGAGAAAUCCAUGACUGUUUAGAGUACUUAAAGAGCCUCCUUGCCAGUCUCCCUCCAGCGCUCACAGAAAUGAGCAGAAAUCCAGCCCAUACGAGCACUGCUCAGCAGCUGCAAUCCUUGUACCACGCAUGGGCUGGGACAACAGAAAGCCUCUUGCAGUGUUUCGAAGAGACAGUCAGCAUGCAUGAAUUCCUGAAGCUGUCCAUCCAGGAGAUGACCAAGCACAAGGAAUGGUGUGACAAGGCCCUGCAAAGUCAGGACCCCGAAAGGCUCUCUAGGCAUGCUACCAGCCUCACCAGUUGGGCUCAGUGGGUCGCUGAAGCUGUUGCCAGGUAUGUGGAUAGAGCAACAGACCCCAUUUUCAGGAACGGCUUGCUGGUUUGGAUUGAGCAGCUGGCCAAGUCCAUUCUUAAGCUGAAAGCAGCCACGGCCCUUUGCAUGGAGAGAUGCUCCUGCCUCCAAACGAGGGAUGUCUUUUCAAAGACGGUGAGCUGCCUGAUGGAUACUGCUCACUGCAUUCAGGAUGGGCUGGAUGGGUCCAACCACCCAGAUAUCCUCAGCCCUCUCCGGGAACAAAUACGGAGAGCUGACGUUGCAAAGGAGCUUGAACUCAGCUCAUCCUAUGCCAGGUUAAAAAACGUGACCAGUCAAGCUAAAUUGCAAGAAGAUGUCUUAAGUCAUCCAUCUCCGCAAGCAGGUAACUCACACCCAGAUAUUGUUCCAAGGAAAGGAGAAAUGCACCCUGUCAUUACAGCACUCCUAGCAGCUACAAGAGCCCAUGAUAUAGCAGCUGUGAAUGCUGCCUGCUCCGCCUUGCUCGAAGUCUCUAACUGCUGUAUCAAUGCAGCAAAGGAAGCACUGCCUGUUGCUGCCUCUCCCCAGAUGGAGAGGCUGGGGCAGUACCAGAAGAUUAUCUUACUGACACCAUGUGUUAUUAGCUUGGCCAGAGAAACAGCCCCAGGGCAGCUCCAGCAUCAAGGCAGACUUCUCCAAACUGCACUUUCCCUCUCAGAAUCCAUCUGCGAGACCAAAGAGUGCCUGGCAGCCAUGGCAGGCUCUUGGUACAGUCUGUCUCAGCAAGUGCUUGGUUUUAUCUUGGCCGCUGACUUUAUGAGCAGCAAACAGGCUUUGGAUGAGACCAUGAUGGGUUUAGCAGGAGCAGUUCAGAUAGCAGAGGACAUUGCAAGCAUGGCCUGUAAUAAGCAGAAUCUUAUUUGUCCUGAUGUCUGGGAAAACCUUCUACAGGUCCAAGCCAAAUUUUCACAUGCUCAGAUGAACACCAAAGCACUACUUGAGAAAGCAAUGUCCUUCAAGGACUCCUGCAAGUUGGGAGAGGCCAGCCUGGAGCUGCGCUGUGUCCACUGGGCUAUCAGCAUGCAUGUGCUCCUGGUUGCUGUGGAUCAGUUCAUAGGCAGAGACAUCCUGUUCCUGAAGGAGCUAAGAAGCGCCAUGGAGAACAAGCUUUGUUCGCAGAGCCUCUUGGCUGCUGUGUCUGAGAUCUCCCUGAGGCUGCAGGAAGCUGCCCGGCUCUCUUACUUCACUUACCCUGAAGACUGCGGCCGCAGUGAAAUCCUCACCCUCAGGGAAGAGAUAAAGGUGCUAAUGGAAGCACUGCUGGAUGCUUCCAAUAUCCUCUUGGUCUCUCCGCUGCCCUCUGCCAGCUUGUACAUUCGCUUUGAGCUCCUGCAGAGAGACUUGGCCCUCAAGGCCAAAGCAUUACUGUUCCACCUGGAGAAGACCAACACCGAACACUUACAAGUCAUCCGAGAUGUGGUUGGACCAGCCCUGUCUUUCUUCCCCAAAGAGUGCAGGGAGAUGAGCCAAAAAGCUUUUAAAGAGAAAGCAGGUCAGCUAAUGGCCAACAUUCAGUGGGUCAAAGCCACCCUCCAAGAUGUCCUGGAGACCACCGCUCAACUGCAGUCACGGGCAGACCUGCUCUCUGUUGCAGACCACCUCCUGGUCCUCACAUCUGAUGCAGUGGACAGUGCCAGCCAGUUCUUCCAAAGCCACCAGGACAAAAGGUACCUCCACCUAGACAGCAUUGUCUGGUACUGGUCAGCUAAAGCACACUACCUUGCCACGCAGCUUCAGGCUGUCCAUGGCAUCAAUGGACACGUUCUGGAACUCAUGAGACAACACCUGCGAAAUGUGGGGGACCAGUGC